rnacentral:rRNA from 1 species
AUUGAACGCUGGCGGCAGGCCUAACACAUGCAAGUCGAACGAGUGGCGGACGGGUGAGUAAUGUCUGGGAAAAUGCCCGAUGGAGGGGGAUAACUACUGGAAACGGUAGCUAAUACCGCAUACCAUCGGAUGUGCCCAGAUGGGAUUAGCUAGUAGGUGGGGUAAUGGCUCACCUAGGCGAAGAUCCCUAGCUGGUCUGAGAGGAUGACCAGCCACACUGGAACCUAGACAAGGGCCAGACUCCUACGGGAGGCAUCAGGGGGGAAUAGUGCACAAUGGGAGCAAGGCUGAAUGAGCCAUGCCGCGGGGAUGAAGAAGGCCCUAGGGUUGUAAAGUACUUUCAGCGGGGAGGCGUUACUCGCAGAAGAAGCACCGGCUAACUCCGUGCCAGCAGCCGCGGUAAUUC